UCAGGGAUGUGAGGUUCUUACUGCAGAGCAAUGAGCUUUAACCCUUCACCUUAUUACUUAAAAAAAAAAAAAACCUUUCAACUGAUUUUAAAAUAUCACACUGCUAUGACAGCUUACAUAUUUAUCACAUUUACAGUUUCAUCUACGGUCUAUAACAUACAAGAACUUCUUAGUGGUUUUACAGCAAUCGGGCACUUUUUAUAAAAUUCAAGAGCUUUUAUUGCAUGUUUCCACUGGUAUUUUGAUGAUUAAUCUGGCGAUUAAUCUUCAGGCUGAAAGGCAUCACUGAUCUUCACGUUACAUUAAUUCUUUACAUGGUGUGUCAUCCUCUAACAUGUUGAUAAAAUUCAAAGAUUGCAUUAAAUCUCAAUGAUUUUUAAUAAUUUUCAGCUGAGCUGGAGAAGGUGGGCGACACACUUUCUCAUCCUAGGUUUGAGCAACUUUUCUAAUAAUAAUAAUAAUUUUCAGAAACUCACAAAAAACAAAAUUCUAAUUUAAAGCUCAAACCGGAUUGUUAAUUUAAUCCAAACAUGUUGUAGAAGAGUUCAUGGGAAAACAUCUUAUCCUUUUAUGCAUCUUCUCAGUAAAAAUCAAUGUUAAACCACAGCUUGGGAUUUGAUUCAACAACAUGCUGUUUCAUUUCUCACCAUGAGGUGGCAGUAUCUUCACAGUGUGUGGUGAUAACUCACAAGCAGAAAAAUGCAUUAAGGCCCCGCCCACUCAAAGAAGAAUAGACAUUGCAGAAAUACGAUGUGAGUAUUCAGUAGGUGUUCAUCGUAGGCAACAGGACAUCCUUAAAGUGAGCCAUGAAAUACCACAUGAUAAUUACAAGCUUUUGUUUAACAUUUAUGUUCACAAGAGUUUCAGGCGCUUCACUCAGUGACGAAGUUCAUCAGACUCCAUCUGACUUGUACAAAAAACUGGAGCAAACAGCACAAAUCGAUUGCUCGCACAACAUCAGCAACUACGAUCGGAUCUUGUGGUACAAACGGACGGCGGACAGGCAGAUGGGGUUCCUAGGAUACAUGUUAGCAAACAUCGGCUAUCCGGAGGAAGGAGCGAAGGUAAAGAUCGACGGGAACGCCAACAAGGGCCAGACCUGCAGGCUGACGAUAGACGGGCUCAACGUGAACAGCAGUGCAGUUUACUUCUGCGCUGCCAGUUACCACAGUGCAACAUGCAAAAAGCCCUCAGGGCAAAAACCUCUAGCUUUUGUUUCCCCGUCUCUCAGGUCCAUGCACCUGUCUUCUCUAACCAGUUUAUCAAGCUUUGGAUCUUUUUGUUGA